rnacentral:rRNA from 1 species
UUAAGUUGCAGGGUAUAGACCCGAAACCCGGUGAUCUAGCCAUGGGCAGGUUGAAGGUUGGGUAACACUAACUGGAGGACCGAACCGACUAAUGUUGAAAAAUUAGCGGAUGACUUGUGGCUGGGGGUGAAAGGCCAAUCAAACCGGGAGAUAGCUGGUUCUCCCCGAAAGCUAUUUAGGUAGCGCCUCGUGAAUUCAUCUCCGGGGGUAGAGCACUGUUUCGGCAAGGGGGUCAUCCCGACUUACCAACCCGAUGCAAACUGCGAAUACCGGAGAAUGUUAUCACGGGAGACACACGGCGGGUGCUAACGUCCGUCGUGAAGAGGGAAACAACCCAGACCGCCAGCUAAGGUCCCAAAGUCAUGGUUAAGUGGGAAACGAUGUGGGAAGGCCCAGACAGCCAGGAUGUUGGCUUAGAAGCAGCCAUCAUUUAAAGAAAGCGUAAUAGCUCACUGGUCGAGUCGGCCUGCGCGGAAGAUGUAACGGGGCUAAACCAUGCACCGAAGCUGCGGCAGCGACACUGUGUGUUGUUGGGUAGGGGAGCGU